CCUCCCGGGCCAGCCGCGGGCCGGGGCGAGGGAGGGCGCAUAAUAAACAGCAUCGUUUUCAUGCAGGCAGGGCUGCCGGCUCCCCAAGCCUCCUCCCCGCGAUAACAACCCAGCACCUGUUCCUGGGCUGGCACAGGACCAAGAAGACUUGCUAUUUAUGAUACCCCCAGAUGUGGCUCUGGAGCCCAAAUGCUGCUGUUGCUGAAAUGCAGUGAAUGAAUAAUGCUUCUAGUCUGCAGUGAAGAUAAUCAUAUACUAGAGCUGCAAAGAAAACUCAUCCUAUGGACAUGAAAGGAUGCAGCUCUUUUCCUCAUGAAUUGACUGCAAAGGAUAAAUGAGUUGCUAAGCUGUUGCAGGCCUGGAUGACAUAGAAGAUCCAACUCCCUCCUCUUUCUACUCUGCCAGAUCAUGUUAUAACUGAAAGUCCCUGUGAGAAGCUACAGAGGGAGAGAGGAUUCUCUGGGAACACAGGGAUUUAAUUUGAAGUCACAACAGUAUCAAAUAUCCCAUCUGAGAAGACUGUCCUUCCCUUCUCUAAAGCCAAGAUCAGCAAUAUUCUCCUUUAGGCCAAAAAUGACAAAGACAACUUCAUUACAGCUCAAGAGCUCUGCAGCUUUGACCCAUAUGAUGGACCAGAAUGAAGAAAUGUAUCAACUAAAGGAUACUUUGGUCCUGUUUUGUGUCCAGAAGAGACUCUUAUGUUCACUUCAUGUGAAAGAAGCAGAGAGAUAGAGGA